rnacentral:rRNA from 1 species
UACGUAGGGGGCGAGCGUUGUCCGGAUUUAUUGGGCGUAAAGAGCGUGUAGGCGGCCAGGUAGGUCUGCUGUGAAAACUCGAGGCUCCAACCUCGAGACGCCGAUGGAAACCAUCAGACUAGAGUCCGGAAGAGGAGAGUGGAAUUCCUGGUGUAGCGGUGAAAUGCGCAGAUAUCAGGAAGAACACCCGUGGCUAAGGCGGCUCUCUAGUACGGUACUGACGCUAGACGCGAAAGCGUGGGGAGCAAACAGG